UCAAGAUCUUUAUUUUUUUCUUACUCUCUACUUAGUUCCUUACAAUAGCAAAACGUAACGUAAUGGCUUGAAAGCUAUUGCUCGGCAGACAUAGAGGAAUGACACUAACAGUUUGUAUAUCUAUGACACACAUUACAUAAAAUUAAGAUAUAUUUUUCUUAACCCGUUUAAAGAUUAUUUUUUUAGACAAAAGAUAGCCUAUGUCCAUCCCCAGGAUAUAAUCUAUCUCCUUGCUAAAUUUCAAUACGAUCCGUUCAGCCGUUCAGCCGGGAAAAGGUAACAAACAGACAGACAGACAGACAGACAGACAGACAGAGUUACUUUCACAUUUAUAAUAUUGUCGCGGGUUGAAAUUUUGCAGGGUUGUUGAAAUCAAAUUUAGGGACUUUACUGACGGGACUCUGGGCUGGCUGCUCUGUUCACUCGUCAGCGCAAGUGGCGUGACCAUGUAAUUGGGGCACGGGGCCGGCGCGGCGCGCUGCGGGCUUGCAGAAUUUUGUUUGUUUGUUUGGCCGCGCGCUGGCGCAGCCACGGGCCGCAGUUACUGGGGCGCGCUGUCGUAACAAGCCGCGCGGUGUGGCCUGCACAUUGGGGUAGAGGGGGGGUAGUCUUCCCAGAUGUUCUAGUUAGUUGUUUAGUAAAUUUGACUUCAAUAACGAGCUUUUGUUAUGGUAGGCGCGGCAGGGCGCGCGAAUUUAAGCGCAAGUGAGUGGUGACUCGGGGCUCACUCAGGCGGAGGCUAUGCGUCUCACCUGUGGUCACGAGUUGUUAGUUCGUUCGUGAUGUAGGAAUUCAAGCUUUCGGGCGGAAGCUAUGGUCGACGCCAGAGGCCACGAGUCGUUUAAUUUAAGUUAGGUCAUAAUGUAGUCAUCUUCAAGCUUUCGGGCGGAGGCAAUGGCCUUCGUCACUAGUCGUUUAGUUAUAAUUUUUAAAAUGUAAUGUUCGUUCGGAUUUUAAGGGCAGGAGAGGCCCCUACGUUAGUUUUAAGUAAUCGAUCAAGAAAGGCUUUUCGGAAAAUGUGAGUAUGGACUUAUCUUUGUUUUAAUUUUAAGUAUUAAUUAUGAUUUGAGGUAUUCGGAAGGACUAGGGAAGUGUUUAGUGAAGUUCUCUCAUUCUCUCUCUUGUAAGGUCGUUCAAUCGUUAAGGAAGUAAAGAGAUUAUUGUUUUAAAUUGUAAUCCCGCUAUUUAAAUGUUCUUUAAAAUGAUGUUGAGUAUUUGACUUUAAGAAUAAAAUAAUUUUAAUUAAGUAUUAUGUUAUUUUGCAAAAUCUCCUUAGUUCAGCUCUCACCAGACAUCCUGUACGGGAUGACGAACCUAUGAUCCUAGGUACAGUAAAGUAUUUUAUGAAGUUAAGACUAGUUGAUGCCAAGCGAGUUGUUUCUAUGUCAAGAGCUACGAUUCUCGCCCCCCCCCCCCCCUCUGAAGGUGGAUCGUGACAGAAAUGGCGGUGGCACCGGCUAGGUGCACGUGACAGAAAUGGUGGAGGCGCCGGGUAGGUUCUAUUUCUGGAGAGAGAGAGAGGUAGAUUUUUAUGUUUAUUAUUAAGUUAGUUUCAGCUUCUGAUAGCAGGUUAUUAAGAGUUUACUUGAGGAGAGGAUUACGGAAUUUAAUCUAAGUGGAGGAAGUCUUUGAGAUUUUUUUUUUGACGUAACAGAUGUUUAUUUGAGUAUACUUGUAAGGAUAAAGUUUAUAGUGAUAAGUUGUUUUAAGUCGUUGAGUUUAUCAGGGAUUUUUACGUGAGGAGAAUACGUUAUAAUUUAAAUGAUUAAUAGAGAUAAUGCAAGUGGUUUAAUUUAAUUGAAAUUAAUUUUAAGAUUGUAGGUUAAGAGAGUUAAAAUUUAAAAUAAAGUUUUUUUCGUAAAUAGGAAUUAUUUUCAAGUGAAGUUUGUUUUGCUGUCGUGCGCGUAGGAGACGAGACGUACGAAUUAAAUCAGUCGAGGGAAGGAUAAACGUUAGAAAGGAAUUAAAAAGAAAACGAGAGUUUAUGUAAAAGAGAGUUAUAGAAUUUAUAGUGAUGUUUUGUUUUAAUUAGAAAAAUGUUGAGAGUUGUUUCAGAACGACACGUCAGUGGACGUGGCAGAAUGAACACGUGACGGGGAGGUGCUGAGACCUAGCGGUGAACGGAGGAACCGCAAGCGAGGGUUGGCGCACCUGAUGGAAUUCGGUGACGUCACGGGCUCAUACGGAGACGUGGACAGGCCGUGACCUUGUUUUGAUCAGCUGUACGGUAACUUAGCGAUAAGAAAAUAGACUAUUGGUUUAAUAAAUUUAAAUUUAAGUGUGUUUUAGGAGAAGAGGAACUUUCAGUAUAUUCCUUAAGAUGAGCUGAGCAGCAGUCCAGUUUACAAGAUGACAAGAGUUCGAGAGACAAGAUACAAGAUCACUGAAACAAGAGCCAAGACUGAAGAUUCAAGAGAAGAGAAAGCUGGCAGCCAUGGACUUACAAGUGGAGAUUAAUAAGGUCAUGUAAAGUUUUAUUUUUUUAUGGAAGACAGUAACUGGAGUUUUUUUGUUAUAAACAUUAUUUACAGAACUUUUUAGGUUAUAGUAAUGUAAUGGAACUAGUGAGUUGUGGUAGCUGUCAAAAAGAACUAAUACCUUAAGUUUAAUUUUUAAAGUUAAUUUUCUUAAUUUACAGAGGGAUUAGUAGUUUUUUUUAAACCUUAUUUAGGUUGGAAUUUAAAUACAAUAGCUUAUUAUAAAUGUGUACGAACAGUUCAAGUUCACAGUACUGAUAGGUAGGUCAGAUGAUCUUAUUGAUUUUGAUGAUUUGUUGUUUUGAGUUGAUUUUUAAGUGUUGUGAAUUAGACAAUGAAAUAGUUCUGAAAACUUAAAUUAUUUCAAGCUAAGAAAUAGUAAAGUUAAUUGUAACUCAAAGGACACCAGAAUUUAAUUUUUUUUUAAUUAGUAAUGUUUGAAAAUUUUAUACUUUACAAGAAAGGUUAUAAACAAACAGAUCGGAUGGAACAAGGAUGCAGUAAAUCACAAUUUCAUUUAGAAUUAUUGAUUAGCUUUUGAGGUUAUGAAGUAAAAGUAAUUAUAGUUUAAAAGUUUGAAUAAAAAAAAAUGUUUUUUUUUAUUUGUUUGAAAUAGAAAGUUUAAAAGUUAAUUAGUCAUGAUCUAGGUGGGUGAUGGGGUGGGAAUUGGCCACUCUUUUUCCCUAUAACCUCCCUAACAUGGCCUUCUAUUACAACUAACAGAAAUAAAGAAGAAGAAAAAUGAAGAAUUAUUAGUUAGAAUGUUUCUUUCAUGAAGAUACCUGAUGAACUUUUACUGUUUGUAAGAAUAGAAGCAAGGUUAGUCAGAUAUUUUUACUCAGAAGAAGAAGAAGAUAAAGCAGUUUUAUGACUCGACAAGCCAGAGAUUGGUGUUUCCCCUCUGCGCUUCUAUUGACUACGUUGUUUACUCUCAUGGGAUAGCUGGUUCGGCACCAUGGAGAGAGAUUGGUGGGCAUUGUGGUUGCCCCCAGAAGAAAAGAAGAGUAGAAGAGGUUAUGGGUGGGUCAUGUGAACUGACCUUCAACCCAGUUACUUCGUGGGGACUAUUUGCUGUAUAGAGAAGAUCAAGACUCAAGAGUUAGGGAAAAUCAUUGGAGGUCAUGUUUCCCUUCCUUAAGUUUUUCCUAUCAAAUUAUUUGCCUGAUUAGAUUAUGCUAAGGGUGGGAUACUUUAUGUUAGCAGUUGAAUUAAUUAAUUUUAUUUUUUUGUGUGUUUGCAUCCUUGCCCAUCGAUUGCAGUUUAGUAGUUAGUUUUGUAUUUGUCAGGCGUGAUGGUAAUGCCUGUUGAUGAUGUUUCAGAAUUGUAAUCUGUUCGUGAUGAGGAUGGCACAACUCCGAAGCAGAUGUGGGGAGAAGUUGUGAGCUGCCCUGGAAGCCAGUCCAGUAGCUGUUGGAGUUGAGUGGUGUUUGCUGAUGGCCAGCCCAGGGAGCUACUCUUCUCGACAACACUGACUUCGAGGAGUUGCACCAACCUUCACGAGAUAAGAGUUUAAUUAAUUGAAACACUGUAAGGACACUUAAUUUUUUUUGAAGAACGAAAGAAGUAUGGUAAUAAACGGAAACCGAAAAAAAAAAAUAAUAAUAAUUAUCAAGAAUUUGCACAUUGUUUAACGAAUACUGAGAAACUAAGAACAGUAAUUUAAUUUGUAAAGAGAGCUUCACUAACAGAACAAUUUUUUUAGAAUUGAGAACUCGAGCCUCUGAAGGUUCCUGUGAGAACAAACCAGAUAAAAGUUUUACAUUUAAUUUUAUGAAUACUUGUUGUUUUAAAAUAAAUCUUAUGCAGAAUCUAGAUGUAUGUUCAGACAGCAAGGAACUAAGAAAAUUAUUAUUUUUGUGAAAUGAGGAAUUUAUAGUUAUGGUUUAAUGGAAAAAGACAAUUUGUAAUUUUGAGGUAGCUCGAUGGGGCUCGAGCUCUGUGAGGGGAGGGUUAUGUCGCGGGUUGAAAUUUUGCAGGGUUGUUGAAAUCAAAUUUAGGGACUUUACUGACGGGACUCUGGGCUGGCUGCUCUGUUCACUCGUCAGCGCAAGUGGCGUGACCAUGUAAUUGGGGCACGGGGCCGGCGCGGCGCGCUGCGGGCUUGCAGAAUUUUGUUUGUUUGUUUGGCCGCGCGCUGGCGCAGCCACGGGCCGCAGUUACUGGGGCGCGCUGUCGUAACAAGCCGCGCGGUGUGGCCUGCACAUUGGGGUAGAGGGGGGGUAGUCUUCCCAGAUGUUCUAGUUAGUUGUUUAGUAAAUUUGACUUCAAUAACGAGCUUUUGUUAUGGUAGGCGCGGCAGGGCGCGCGAAUUUAAGCGCAAGUGAGUGGUGACUCGGGGCUCACUCAGGCGGAGGCUAUGCGUCUCACCUGUGGUCACGAGUUGUUAGUUCGUUCGUGAUGUAGGAAUUCAAGCUUUCGGGCGGAAGCUAUGGUCGACGCCAGAGGCCACGAGUCGUUUAAUUUAAGUUAGGUCAUAAUGUAGUCAUCUUCAAGCUUUCGGGCGGAGGCAAUGGCCUUCGUCACUAGUCGUUUAGUUAUAAUUUUUAAAAUGUAAUGUUCGUUCGGAUUUUAAGGGCAGGAGAGGCCCCUACGUUAGUUUUAAGUAAUCGAUCAAGAAAGGCUUUUCGGAAAAUGUGAGUAUGGACUUAUCUUUGUUUUAAUUUUAAGUAUUAAUUAUGAUUUGAGGUAUUCGGAAGGACUAGGGAAGUGUUUAGUGAAGUUCUCUCAUUCUCUCUCUUGUAAGGUCGUUCAAUCGUUAAGGAAGUAAAGAGAUUAUUGUUUUAAAUUGUAAUCCCGCUAUUUAAAUGUUCUUUAAAAUGAUGUUGAGUAUUUGACUUUAAGAAUAAAAUAAUUUUAAUUAA